CUUCCCUCCAUGGCGGCCGCCCUGGCAGGCGCCCUGGCGCGCGCCCCCCAAGAGCGCGGGCUCGCGCACAGAAUCGUAACGACGACAAUUGCAACAUGUCGAAU
rnacentral:ribozyme from 11 species